UUACGCUGCCUCUUCUGAUUUGCCACGAUCUUCACAUCGCGCACCGCCUCACAGCGACAAAAGCUGGUCGUCGGUCCCCUUUCUUGUGCAGAAACUGCAAGAGGCAGCCUCAAGCACGCCGCCGGCCAACCUGGAUGUCAUCGCUAGCUGGGAACAUUGCUGCCAGCAUCCUCCAACGACCCAAGCUCAGAUGGAUCAAUUCAAAAAUUUGAGACAGCUUCAGUGAAUUGCAAUUUUCCAGCUCCUGUAUUUUUUGCAUUUCUGCAGUUUUAGUGUUUUAAGAUGUCCAUCCAAUUUGUAAAGACACGUAGAGAAAGGCAACAACAUUUGUUCUGCGAAUA